UGCAAAGCAGACCGCGAACACGUAUGUAACGCCGAACCCCCGCCGGCGCGCGAGCGGUUGCCCGCCGCGCCGCGCGGGCUAACGAACCCCGGCGCGGAACGCGCCAAGGAAAACUCAAAGUAGCGCCGCCGCCCCCCGCCCCCGUCCGCGGGACAAGCUCGGGGCCGGCGUGCGUCUAUCGAAUGUCAAAACGACUCUGGGCAACGGAUAUCUCGGCUCUCGCAUCGAUGAAGAACGUAGCGAAAUGCGAUACUUGGUGUGAAUUGCAGAAUCCCGUGAACCAUCGAGUCUUUGAACGCAAGUUGCGCCCGAAGCCAUUAGGCCGAGGGCACGUCUGCCUGGGCGUCACGCAUCGCGUCGCCCCCCCAUCGCCCCUCGGGGCGGGGAGGGGGCGGAUACUGGCCUCCCGUGCGCCCCGGCGCGCGGCCGGCCCAAAUGCGAUCCCCCGGCGACCCGCGUCGCGGCAAGUGGUGGUUGAACACAUCAAUCUCGCGUACUGCCGCGCCACCGGGCCGUCCGGACGGGCAUCGAGAACGACCCUGCGGCGAAAGCCCACGACCGCGACCCCA
rnacentral:rRNA from 1 species